rnacentral:pre_miRNA from 1 species
AUUGAAAUUGCUGGAUUAUAUGGAAACUCUAUGUUUAAUUUUUUGAGGAAUUGCCAAACUGUUUUUCAAAGUGGGUGCACCGUUUUAUAUUUCUACCAGCAGU